CACUAUGCAUAGCCGUAAACCUGACAGCUCUUUACAUUUGCUGUUCGCCCGGGAACUACGAGCGUAAGCUUAAAACCCAAAGGACUUGACGGUGCUUUAUAUCCCCCUAGAGGAGCCUGUCCUAGAACCGAUAAUCCCCGUUAAACCUCACCUUUUCUUGCUCAUCCCGCCUAUAUACCGCCGUCUCCAGUCUACCCUGUAAAGGACCCAUAGUAGGCGAAAUUGGUACAGCCCCAGACGACAGGUCGAGGUGUAGCGUAUGAAGAGGGAAGAGAUGGGCUACAUUCAGUGAAACACCGAAUACGGAAAGCUAAUUGAAAUAUUAACUUGAAGGUGGAUUUAGCAGUAAGUGGAGAAUAGAGAGCCCCGCUGAAAUCGGCCCUGAAGCGUGUACACACCGCCCGUCACUCUCCCCGAGCAGAAAGACUCUUUACCUAAAAAGCCAAAGAAUGUAAAGGGGAGGCAAGUCGUAA
rnacentral:rRNA from 1 species